AUUGAACGCUGGCGGCAGGCCUAACACAUGCAAGUCGAGCGAGCUGCGGACGGGUGGGUAAUGUCUGGGAAACUGCCUGAUGGAGGGGGAUAACUACUGGAAACGGUAGCUAAUACCGCAUACCAUCAGAUGUGCCCAGAUGGUAUUAGCUAGUAGGUGGGGUAACGGCUCACCUAGGCGACGAUCCCUAGCUGGUUUGAGAGGAUGAUCAGCAACACUGGAACUGAGACACGGUCCAGACGCCUACGGUAGGCAGCAGGGGGGAAUAUUGCACAAUGGGCGCAAGCCUGAUGCAGCCAUGCCGCGUGUGUGAAGAAGGCAUUCGGGUUGUAAAGCACUUUCAGCGGGGAGGCGUUACCCGCAGAAGAAGCACCGGCUAACUCCGUGCCAGCAGCCGCGGUAAUAC
rnacentral:rRNA from 1 species